AAUAGGUGCUGCAUCGCCCCCACCGCUUCGCCUCAAUUGGCACCAGCGCAGGCCACCCCGCCGCUCGACCUUGACUCGCACCAGAGGCGACCACCACCAUCCUCGCUGCUCCCUACCCUCCCCCAGCCCGAUAUGGAUGCCUAACCCGCGGGAACGGGCAGGCGGACGGCGGGCGAUGUGAGGCGCGGUGGCGGCACGAGGAAGAUGGGCAGAUCCGGGCACGGCGUUGACCGAUCUGGCGGCUGGUGCGCGGCUUGUUCCGGUCCCAACGACAUCCUGCUCAUCCAUAGAAGGAGAGAGAAGGGCCCGAGGGAGAGAGGAAACAGAUGAAGAAAGGAGAAGGGGCAUACGCAGGGUGAGGGAGGAAGUCGCCGGCGGUGGCGGCUCCGGUGACUGGCCGACGGGCUUGCUAGGCAAGGCUAAGGAGUACGCUAGCCUGAGAUUCGAUAGAGCAUGAAUUGAAUGAAUUUUGCACCACGGGGAAGAAGUUGUGGUGGCGGCGAAUUAUGUAGCCAUUGUCUCUCACGACUGCCGGCCCCUGCUCGCGACAUCUCUACUGAAGCCGCCUCUGCCUACUCUGAGGAGGAGAGCAAUGGAAAUAACACCCCGUCGUGGUCCUGGUGCUUCUCUCCGUGGGUUCGCUUGCUCACCUCGGCGUUUGCGGCUUCUACAGGUACGUACUAGACAACUACCCAUUGUUUUUGUUUUCUAUUGACAGUUUGAUCGCUUCAUCAAUCCUUCUAGAGGGUCUUGACAGGAAGGACUGAGCAGCCAUUGUGCUGGAGUAGACUGUGUGACAGGUUUUUUCCUCUCUCUCCUACCCGUGAUUGGUUUCUUUGGUGAAGAAAGCAUCACUGUCUUUCAAUACAUCAUGGAUGCUCAACCUGUAUGUCUACAUGGUACAAGAAUGAAGAUUAACCAUUCAAUCUAUUGAUUCAGAGUGAGACAAGGGUGAAACAGAAUAAGCUCAUUUUUGUGAUGAGUUCCCUAGGCCCCAGAAGGCCAGAACUAGCAUUUUAAUUACAAAAUUCAGUUUUUGAUCACGUUAUUUCAGUUUCAUUAUAGACCUUAUAAUAUUUUUUAUGGAUUAAUAUAAGGUUUAUAAUAUUUUGUGGAGCAAUUAGUUGUGCAUAGAAAAGAGCUCACCUAAAUUAAUGACAUGUUCAUCUUAUCUUCGAUUAAAAAAAUUUGCCCCCUAAUAUUCAGUUCUACUGAGAGUUGUAGAAGGCAAAAAUCCAGCAAAUUAACUCAAGUAAGUGUUUUUGUUAUUUCCCAAUGUAAUUAAAAAUUUUCUUCUCAAAAUACGACAUGGUCAUUGUCGGAAAAGAAUAUUUAGCAUGAAUGUAGGUGCUUUCAUAUGAAGCUGGACAUGUUUACAAUGAUCGACCGGAUACCGUUACACGUGUCCUGAAUAUGAAGUUUAAUGAUUUCUGAGAAGAUGUUAAAAGUGGACAUUUGUUUCGUACAAUUCAAGCAUUUUAUACAUGAUGGAGUUCCAGAAUAGAGGCUUGCCUCAUACUCAUACUUCAAUUCGGCUUAUAUGGAACAAUCAUGAGCCUUCGGCCUCCUUCAUAGAUGGUUUGAUUUCGGCUGAGAUACCUGAUCGUUUGGUUGAGCCCUGGGUUAUGCUCUUAUGGAUUAAUUUAUGGUUCACGGUCCAUGUGGAGACUACAAAGUAAAGUGUGCAUGUAUGAAAGAUGGAUUGUGUUCCAAAAGAUUUCCCAAAGAUUUUAAUGAGCAGACGUCGGUUGAUGAUAGAGGCUUUCCUAUAUAUCAUAGACGUGAUUUGGGUUACUAUGUGAGGAACAAGGGUACUGUUAAGCUGGAUAAUCGAUGGGUAGUUUUCAUAUAAUAGUUUUGGUAAUGUAAUUAUUAAUGUAUUUUUCUUCUUGCGAAGCGUACUGGCAUAUGUUUGCUUUCAAUAUACAUGGUCGUGAGCCUGCAGUGGAGAGAUUGGUUGUGCA